rnacentral:rRNA from 1 species
GACGAACGCUGGCGGCGUGCCUAAUACAUGCAAGUUGAGCGCUGAAGGUUGGUACUUGUACCAACUGGAUGAGCAGCGAACGGGUGAGUAACGCGUGGGGAAUCUGCCUUUGAGCGGGGGACAACAUUUGGAAACGAAUGCUAAUACCGCAUAAAAACUUUAAACACAAGUUUUAAGUUUGAAAGAUGCAAUUGCAUCACUCAAAGAUGAUCCCGCGUUGUAUUAGCUAGUUGGUGAGGUAAGGGCUCACCAAGGCGAUGAUACAUAGCCGACCUGAGAGGGUGAUCGGCCACAUUGGGACUGAGACACGGCCCAAACUCCUACGGGAGGCAGCAGUAGGGAAUCUUCGGCAAUGGACGAAAGUCUGACCGAGCAACGCCGCGUGAGUGAAGAAGGUUUUCGGAUCGUAAAACUCUGUUGGUAGAGAAGAACGUUGGUGAGAGUGGAAAGCUCAUCAAGUGACGGUAACUACCCAGAAAGGGACGGCUAACUACGU